GUCACUUGAUGGAGCAUAUCGACUAAUUUGACAUUACAAAUGUAUAAACCACAUAAAACACAUAAACAAUCACCAAACAUAUCAAAAAAUAAUCUAAAACCAAAAUAAUAAUGUUUAGUCCAAUUAUACAGUCCAAAAAAUAGAAAAAUACGGAAAUGUGAAUCCUGUUCUAAACUAAUCCUAGACUAAGCUUCAAUGUCUCACCUGAUGCCUCGAGCCUUCAUCACGAACUCCUUCAUAUACAAGAUACUUCGGGGCAUUACCCAGAUAAAUCAAUACAAAUCCUUCGAGGCAUUCCCCGGCCAAACGAAUACAUUUUUAGUGCGAGUAAAUCAAACUAUUCAACGAAAUUUCAAACAUUCCACGGGAUUUCCAACAUUCAACCAAACAAACCUUAGUCCUAAAAUUGCCUACCCGAACCUACAUUGGCCUGCCCAUUUAAACGUAUCAUAAUAAUAUCACGUUUCAUAUCAACAAUCAAUCAAACGGGUUAAACUAAAACUAAACAACGUUCAACUUUAUCAAUUUUUAAUUCCCACAUCUAUUUCAUGUUUAAUACAAUCUCAAACUCAUAUUGUCAUCACAUUUAUCAUCGAGAGCAAUUAUUCAAAAGCAAACAACAUCAAACGUCACCCAAAUCACCCAAACAAAUAGAAUAAAGAUAUCGAAUCACAUCCACAAUCACCAAAAUUAAAAUAAAGGGAGAGAUGAAAAUUAGACCUCAAUUGACGAUUUUAUUUCGAUCAAAUUGGAUUAGCUGAUUCGAGCGCCGCCAGACCUCAAACCGAACCCAAACUCGAUUCCGAACUCGGUUUAAUCACCAAACUAGUCCAAGAAUCUCGAAAUAAAGACAACCCGCAACUGAUUCUGCCUAAACCGAAUUCGAAUCGAAACUUCACUAGACUAGCUUCGUUUUUUGUAGACGCUGUGACUAUAUUGCUGACUUCCAAAGGUUUUGGACUAUUUUUGGUCAAGUGUAGGUGACGGUGAGUUUUCUCGGUGAGGUUCGAACAAAAUUAAUGGAGGAGAAGGCGAUAUUUCGAUUGGGUUUGGCCGAAGAUGGUCGUUUCUUGUGAUUUACCGACGAGUUCGGUAGUGGGGUAGGUCAUUUUCGGCAAGAGAUGGCAGAUUCUGGUGACCAGUUCACCGAAAAACUCAUACCAGUCGGCAGGGAUGCCUCCGUUCUAUGUUUUCGCUCUUCUCACUCGAUUCCUCUCUCUCUUUCGCACUGUAUUCCUCUCUUCCCUCUCUCAAUCGAUCUCUCUCUCGUCUCCCUUUCACUUUCAACCUCCUCUCUAUUGGUGUGUAUGGACCAAGAAAAAGAGGAAGGAAGAAAUGACGUCACUCUUUUCUUCUUCGUAGUUUCUCUGUAUGUGUAUUAUCUGAGGCGUGAAUUACCCAUGGAAUGGAAUUGUUCUCUUCGUAGAGUAGGUGUGGUGAGUAUGUUUUUGUAUGUGGAAUUGUGUAGAAGAAGAUGAAUUCCCUCAAGAAAAAUGGUGUGUCUAUGGUAUAUACCAUGGAGAAGAAAGUAAAAAAAAUGGAAUUCUGCUCUCUGAUGUGUGCUCCACUUUUUUUUGGGUCCCACCUGGGAAAUAUAUUCUAUGUUUUUUGUUCCUAUAAAAUCCAAAAGAGAGCUGAAUGGAAUCAACUUUGUACAACUGUCCAUUUUUCUUUUCCUUUGUGGUCAAGAAACGAGGGGGGAGGUCACGUGAGUGAGUGGGGGUGAGGGGGUAGGGUAGGUGAUGGGGUAGUUGUGAGGGUGAUGUAUCCGUUUUUAAUUGAAGAGAUGGUUAGGAUAGGAUUAAAACAAGGUAAAAUUUGUUAGUGAUUUUGUUAAUUUUUGUAUUUUUAUGAAGGGAUUAUUACACGGGGUAGGACACAUAGUAAGACGAGGGUAAAAAUGAAUAAUUUGAGUUUUCGGGAGGGACAAAAUUAGGUGUCUACAUCAUGCCCCCUUUGAAUGUAAACCCGAAGUGUUUUCAGACAAAAAAGUAGACAACGAGAUCAAAUUUUGACCCGACCAUUAUUUCAGGAAAGAAACAAAAGAAAGAAGAGCAACCGGGUCUUGACUUAGGACAUCCUACCUAUCCAAGUUAUAAAGGAAUCAAUU
rnacentral:lncRNA from 1 species